rnacentral:lncRNA from 1 species
GGCGGUGGCACCACGUAGCCGCCUCCUUCCACCGCUCGCUUUAUCCCCGCCCCUUCUCGGGCCAACCCCAAGCGCCGCUGACCCCGAACGUCGCUGCGGGGUAGGUAGGGGGUGGGAGGGUGGAGGACCGCAGGCGAGAGGGAGAAGGAAGGGCGCCCGGGGAGCAGGCUGGCAGAGUGACCGGGAUUGAUGAGCGGCGCAGCUCUGGAGGGACGCGGGCGAGAGGGUCGCUCCUCGGGGAGAGGGCUGGUUUUGCCUUUUCCGGAAUGCCAUAUAUAAGGAAUCAUACAGUAUGCAGUCUUUCUUUCAAUUUUGCUGUGAAACUAAAACUGCUAAGAAAAUAAAGUCUUAAAAAGAAAAAUCAAUGGAGAAGGGAAAGCCGCCCUGCUGGUUGCCUCCACACCCCUCCUGCCGCCUUCCUCUCAGAACCCUAGCAGCUGUGUUCAGCGUCCCCCUCUUAAAGCAGCCACAUGCUCUGGGAAGACUGGCCCUCUGCGUCACAUCUGGCAGUCCCAUUCCUCUUGCUAAUGUGUGGUUCAGGAAUGGGCAGGUGGCCCAAUUCUGGUCAACAAGCCAUGAGAAGAAUCUGCUAGAGGUUUCCUUGCAUCUAAGAAAUGGUCUCUUUCGCCCUUGGACUUGGUUGGGUUUGGAUGUGAUGCCUCGAUCCUCUACAGCCUGAUGACAAAGACCACACCAAGGAUGGCAGAGUGGAAGGAUAAAAAGAACCAGGGCCUUCCAGCCUUUGUUGUAUGGCUGACUUAACCAACCUUGAAGGUGGCCUUACUCACGACUUCCUGUCAGAUGAGACAAAUUUCUUGGUUAAGAUACUUUGACAGGGGUUUUCCGUUUCAUACAACUGAAAGUAUCCUGACUUAAACACCUUUUGAGGUUCUGCCCCAAGCCUUUAUUGAUUUUCUCCUCUUGAAUCACCACCAGCAUUUCUGCAUUUCUCUUAGUACCACGUUUUUUCUAUUCCCCACACCCACCACCCCCUCUCUUCCCUAGCUGUUUCUGUCUCAAACAAUACAGGGAAACAUUUUAGGGUGUCUGACAGAUCACACCCACCCCUUUCUCAGACCUUCUCAACCACAAGGUGCUCUCCCACCUCCAGCGAGGUUUGUACUUCACAGUUGAUGGGGUCCCGGUAGAUUCAGGCUGGGCCAACCUGAGAGUCUGUCUCAGUAACAAAGGGAACCCUGCGCCCAGCUGAAGUGCAGGCAAUGUUUACCCGAAAGCUGGGGGUGGGUCCGCAUUUCCAGGAGGAAGCCAAGACUCUCCCUCAUCCUCUGCAGAAAGAGGAAGGAAGCCUAAACAGAGAAAAACAGUAGCAGAGUCUGACAGCCUGGGUGCUGUGUAUGGUUGUGCAUUUUGUGCUCUGAAAGGCUCCCAUCCCUGCUAAAGGCCUGCUUCUAGAUUUAAAGAGGACUCUGUCUUUGAGGUCUAUGAGAUUUUUAGAUGGAAUCAUUCAUCACAUCCCAUUUGGGCUUUAGAUACUUUGAAGUGAGUAUCUCAAAUUUUCAAAUCAAAGAACCCUGAUUAAAACAAAAGGUCUUCUCACCUCAAAUCCUUUAUGAAAUGAGGUCAACUUAAAAUACUUUUUAGUUAGCUAUGAUAUAAAAUUAAACUAUAUUUUUGUUAUAGUUAAUGAAUUAAUAUUGUAUCUUCUGUUCCUUAGUCGAAAAGUGAGCAGUUAAAUGGUCUAUUUCUCUAACAAAACAAUUAACUGAUUCCUCAGGAUUUACCGCCCACUGUGACCCUCUUGCCCUGUGCCCACACAUACCUACUAAAGACCAGUUUUCAGAUCCCCAGGAAUAACAUAAAAUGGGGCAUAUCUGUCUCGUAAAUAUGAUUGAAUAAGCAUAUGUAGAGCACAGUUGUUUCACUUUUAAGAAUCAAUUAUAAUCAUUUGUACAAUAAAAUGAAUUAUGUCUUUCA